AGAGAGAGAGAGAGAGAGAGAGAGAAAGAGAGAGAGAAAAGGAAAGAAAGAUAGAAAAAAGACUUAGGAUGAGGGGAUCUAUUCAAGAGUCCAGAAGAGUUGUCUUGGAGAAUGUCCCCCAUGCUGGGUCUGUGUUUACUCUUGGGGUACUGCGCUUGCUUAUCCUCCUUUGGUAUUUCCUGUGAACCAGAGGUUAGUGGCAGCAAGGCUGGUUGGGUGAAACAUUCUUGGCAAGUGUGCUUCCUAGCUGAUGCAUGGUCAAAGACCACAUACUAAAAGUUCUGUCUCCAAAGACAAUUGAAAUCAAACAGCUCCAGGCUUCCCAAAUGAUUCCUAGUGUAGUUGAGCACUACACAGUGAGAAUCGGUUCUGCCCCAGGAAGGCCCUAAUGGGGAAAACAUCUGGCCCAUUUGCAGCAGCUGGGAAAUGCUCUGUCCUUUCCAGGAACUCAGGGUGGGACAAAGCACAGUGGCACUUUAUCUGGCUCAGCUUUUUCUACUUUGAUGUGGACUUCACUUGAAGUGAGGGGAAACCUUUGGCCUCUCCAGGAGAGGCCAAAGAGUGAAAUAUUUUAUUCAUUUCUUUUUUUCUUUCUCCCCCUCCCUCCCUCCUUCUCUCUCUCUCUUCUCCCUCCCCCCUCCCCUUAGUCCAACAAGUCAAUAACAAAGUAAAGAGAUGGCUCAAGUUGACUGGUUGACCAAAUGGAAGCUCACAAGACAUACUUGAAACUCCCCUCAGUUCACUCUCAUUUGACUGUGACACAGCUUUGUUUAUGCUAAGCAGAUGCACAUGUGCAUGCACACACACACACACACACACACACACACACACACACACACACACACGAGCGCCUCACAAAGAAGUGGAUGAGACACAUGGAGGACUGAUGAUCAGUUUGGCACUGUGUUUUCCCCUUAACCUACAUGGCCAUUUCCAGAUGCCAUUUUAAUGUUGUUUCCUUCCUGUAGAGCGGUGGUUCUCAACCUGUGUGGGUUACCACCCCUUUGGGGGUUUCAUAUCAGAUAUUUACAUUGUAAUUCAUAACGGUAAUCAAUUGCAAAAUUAAAGUUAAUGAAGUAGCAACGAAAUAAUUUUAUGGUUGGGGGUCAGCACAACAUGAGGACCUAUAUUAAAGGGUCGCGUCAUUAGGAAGGCUGAGAACCACUGUUGUAGAGGCUCCAAGACUGAAGGAAAACUUUUUUCCCCCAAAGCUUGGAGUUGUUGGGAUCUGAAAGAAAACGUUGGAGAUGGGGCAGCCCAGAGCUCUUUUGGGAGUGGUGAGGCCUAAGGAUGACUUUUGACCCUGCCUUUCUCUUAGCAGGGAGGCCAUUGUUUCCUUGUCUGAUUCUCACAACUGAUUAUGGGAUAAUGCAGUGCUGUGCAGCCCAGCUGGGCUCACCAUGAACUUGCUCAUUACAUGCUUACUGUUAUUUUGUUUCAUCUAAUCCUAAAAAGGAAACUGGGUGUCUUAGUUAGGUUUCAUAUGAAGGGACAACAUAACCAAGGCAAUUCUUAUAAAGGACAAACCUUUCAUUGGGGCUGCCUUACAGUUUCAGAGGUUCAGUCCGUUAUCUUCUUAGCAGCCUGCAGGCAGACAUGGUGCUGGAGAAGCCGAGGGUUCUUCAUCUCGAUCCUCAGGCAGCAGAAGGGGGCUAUCUUCUACAGGCAGCCAGGAGGAGGCUGGAAUUCUACACAGUUUUAGCACUAGGAGACUUCAAAGUCCACUCCCACAGUGACACACUUCCUCUAACGAGGCCACACCCACUCCAGUAAGGCCACACCUCCUAAUAGUGCCACUCCCUAUGGGCCAAACAUUCAAACACACGCGUCUAUGGAAGCCAACAAUAUUCAAACCACUGGACUUAGGCACACAGAGGCUCUGAGUCACGCUGGAAGCAGUAGAGCAUUAGAGGUGAGAUGGUGGCCCAUGUCGUCUGUCCCAGCUACUCUCAGGGACUCUUCUGCAGAAGGAGCACUGUUUAAGGUCUCUCAGCAUCCCUAAACCAUUCAUCUGUGAUCCAGGUGUGGGGUUCCAAGGUGCCAACCAUCCUGGUUUGGCUUUGAGGGAAGUAAGCCGUAUUUGCCUCAGACCAGACUGCGUGGCUUCUGAUCAACUCUGGCAUUAUUCCCGGUUUUGUGUGAGGUGUUUGGGUUACAGCCAGAGGUGCCAAGGAAGAGCCAGAUAAUGGCUGGCAAGACUAAUGUGAGAGCUAACUCCCAGAAACUCGAGCCAAGGAAACAAACCAAGCUCUUCUUGAUAGACCUGACUGAAGCUAGGCGGCCAUGUCAAAGCGUCCUGGAGGGGACCCAUCCACCUACUUUUGUCACCUCAGGAAAACCUAGUCCUUUGAUCCAGUGGCAUCCAACAGCAUCCAACAGGGUGGAGACAUGCCCAAGCAGCCAUACAUCCCCGGCCUGGGUAGUAGGAUAUUCAGGGCAUGUUAUAGUUUGAGUAUUCCUUCCAGAAUGCCUAAAGGUUACUAUUGUGUUAAUCCAAGGCCCGAGGCCCUUGAGAAAUGCUCAGUACUGAGGGCUGCACGCUCAUAUAUUGGUCAGUGCAUUUCCUGUAGCACGGAAGUCGCCACAAUGCGGCUACUUGAGUGUUCUCUCCCAUGGGGUUCUCUGCCUGGGGGCCCAGCAGUCAGUGCCCAGUUACUGGGCCUCUCAGCCUUCAUAACUGUGAGCAAGAAAUCACCUUUUAAAACAAAUUACCUACUCUGUGGAAUUUUGUUAGAGUGGGAAAAUGGACUAAAUCUGACUGCAUUCUGUAUAGUGGCUCAUCUGGGGUUUGGCACAUGGGGCCCACAUUGAAAGAAGGGGUGGUUUUUUUUGUAUUAGAAAGGGAUCUCUGUUUGCAAGACAUCUUGAGAGCCCCCAAGUGAGCAGGGCAGGAAAAUGUCAUGUCCAUAUGGACUGCACUAUUUUAAUAUUGUUCCAGUGAUAAUUUUGGGAGCUCUAUCAGAAACUGAGCCUACCAGCCAGUACUCUUAAAGGGGAUAUUUCCUAGAAGAGUUGGCUCCCAAAUGGAAAGCCAGUUUCAUGGUUCCUCCCCCUCAUUUCCAAUAAUUUUUUUAAAGCAGAGUGAAUCCCACACAAUGACUUCUACUGGGAAGAACUUCCAGGAAAGCUGAUGUGUUUGUUGGCCUGUGAUCUGUGGGUGCUGUCCAUGCUCUUCUCUGGGAGUCUCUGGGGAUCUGUGCUUUUAAAUGCAACUGCAUUCAGUUCUGAUGGUCAUGCCAUGUGGCUACACAUGUGGCCUCUAACCUCCCAAUUCUCAGUUUCCACAGUUAGACUAUGGUCACAGGUCUCCUGUGAUGAUGACAGAAAUGAGAUGUGUCAACAGGCAUCAUCAAAUGACAGCUGGUAAACCCAGUGAGUGACAGCUUUCAAAGUUUGAGCCUCUGCUCUUUGAGGCCUUCCUUGUCUUGCCUUCAGCAUCUGUACUCUAUUACAUCACAUGACAGAAAGUCUUCCUCACUCACACACUCCUUAAUGGUUUCCCUUUUGACAGAAAUUACCCAGUAGAAGCUCAUGUUGGUUAUUUGCACACAUCUGUAAAAAGGGAGGGAUAUUUAAGAGAUCAGUGUGUGUGUGUGUGUGUGUGUGUGUGUGUGUGUGUGUGUGUGUGUGUGUUUAAAAUGAGUCACAGUCACAAGAGUAUGUGGAUUGCUGGAUUACUGACCAUCCAAGAGUAUAUGGUGAAAUGGCAACAUGGUAUCAGGAUACCAUGAUCCAAUUCCUAGCUUUUCAAGAGGAAAAUUUGCCACUAUGUCAAAUACAUACACUGUGAUGGCUAAACUUGGUUGUCAGCUUGACUACAUCUGGAAUUAACUAAAACCCAAGCCGCCAGGUAAUCCUGUGAGAAAAUUUCUUGAUCAGAUUCUUUAAAUCAAGAAGAACCAAGCAAAACUGAGGCCACACCUUCUGGUGGCAGCCCACACAAAAGGACAUGGACAAAGGAAGCUUUGUCCUCAUGCUAGCUGGUAAGUCCAUCUAUCCUGUUUCUGUGUAUGGUAUUAAAUCCACAUUCUUCAGGAUUCCAUUGUAGACUGAAGACAAGCAGACCUCCUGGAGUCCUCCAGGACUCCAUGGCAGAUUUGGACUGCUAAACACACCAGCCUCAUUGCCUAAAAACUACCAGAUUCCCAACUUUUACACUGCGAGACAGCCAUUGUAGGACUAUCUGGACUACAUCCUAUAAGUCAGUCUAGUAAACCUCACAUAUCAAUAUACAUAUAUGUGUAUAUAUAUAUAUCAUCUAUCUAUGUAUUGAUGGAUAGGUAGAUAGACAGACAGAUAGAUAGAUAGAUAGAUAGAUAGAUAGAUAGAUAGAUAGAUAGAUAGAGAUAGAUAGAUAGAUGGAAAUCCCAUGUACAUACAUACAGAUAGAUAUAGAAAUGUAUUCAUUCUAACAAUACUUUCUCUUCCUUUACAGAACUCUAUUUGUACAUCCACUGUCAGAGACAUAUUAGCAUAUCUCCGAUAGUUUGGGGAUUGUUGCUGAGUUGAAGGUUAUAAAGUCAGCUGGGUGGGGGCAGGGGACUCAUAUUCAUUAGAUUAGCAUCAGCUCAAGUAUCCCUUGUCCCAGAGAAAACACAACUGCCCCUUUCAAUCUCAUGCUCUAUUUAGAGAAUGCAUAUCUGAAUUUUUAAAGUCUGAAUUUUAAUUGUAAAUUAAAUUAUAGCUGUGUAUCAUUAUCGGUACAAAAUAAAUACACUAACACAAUGUAGAAUAAUUAAAUCAAACAAAUUAACAUCCCUCAUCAAAGACAGAAUUAUUUAUUUCAUUGAAAUAAAACUUUCAGUUUUUAAAAGUAUUUUUCACUGGUUGAGAUUAUAAUCACAUCACUUUCCUCUUCCCUUUCCUCCCACCAAACCCUCCCAUGUACCUCUUGUUCUCUUUCAAAUUGUUCUAAUUGUUACAUGUAUGUUUCCAAAUACUAUCAAGGUGAGAAUGUGUGGCAUCACUUUUCUUUGCCUGGCUUCCUUCAUCCAUAAUAGUCUUUAGUUCCAAGCUUAUUUUUGUGAAUGGCAAAAUUUCUCUUUAACAAGGAUGAAUACUAAGCCAUUGUGUAUACAUAUCUCCUUUAUCCAUUCCCCUGUUGAUGGACACCUAGGCUAGCUCCGUAGCUUAGCUUUGUGAACAGCACUGCAGGAAACACUAAUGGGUAGAUAUCUCUGCGGUGUGUCCAUUGGAGUCCACUGAGUGAGUGUCACAGAGCAGUAUAAUUGCCUCAUCUGGUACAUCUAGUUUUUAAGAUUCAUUCACACUGAUUUCCACCGUGUCUGGCCUACUUUACCUCAGCAGUGAAUAGGGGCUCAUUCUGAUCCGAGUUCUGACCACCUAUUUAUUGUCUUUAUCAGUUCCACCCUGACUGGAAUGAGGUGGGCCCUCAACGCAUCUUUGAAAUGUAAUUAAUUCUCCAGGGGCACGGGAGGUGGGGAAUGCUUUCAUAUGUUUGUCGACUCUGUGUUUCACGUUUGAGAACUGUCUGUUUAUUUCAUGAGCCCGGCUGUUGCCUGGGUUGCUUUAUUUAGUUUCUAAAUGUCUUUGUCUGAUGUAGUGCUGUACAGGAUUAUCCUCUAAGCCAAACUGCUCCCCUCUUCAUCACAUCAGCUCAGAUGCUUCCCAAGAGGUCAUUAUAGCUGAGCUUGUUGACAUCCCCCCAGAGGAGAGUGGGAGGCCCACUGGACUCUUCCCUGAGUGUCCACAUGCUGCUCCCAGCCAGCUAUAUACAAUUCUUUCCCAUUGUUCACAGGCCCAAGUGUCACCUGCAGGGGCUAUAUAGGCUGGUAAGACUAGAGUUCCAUCCCCAAAGCCAUGGAGAAGUAAAAAGGAAACUUAAGGGUUUUUUUGGAAAGUCGGUUGGAUGAUGUUUUACUAGGGCAAACACAUGAAGGAACGUUUCACUGAAGCCAACGCAGGUGAAAGCAAGCAUGUGAAAGAACACAGGAUGAAGAAUUCUGCCCUAAUGACACUCAUGUAUUGGUCCGCCUUACAUUGUGUAGUUGCUCUCCAUUACUCAGGACUCCAUAGAGAGAAAUGCACUGAAAAACUUCUGGUGGUGUGCUGCAGUUUCUUGCCGCUUCUGAGGGCUGGUUGGGAGAGUGAUAUCAACUGAGACAGCCUCAUGUGCUAAGGCAAGACCCAUGGAGGACAUGUGAUGUUUGGAGGGAGUAUAAAAAGAACUCGACAGACAGUGAUGGGGGCUGAGCUUAGCUUGCUUAUAGAGCUAGCUGAAUAACACUUGUUUAUCUCCACUUUUCACUCAUCUUCACUUCACUGAGAAAGGUGCAGCCAGGAACAUUUCCUGGCAGUCCUCCUUUGUCCCUUCUUCUGAUUCAUGCUGAGGCGGAGGCCUGGCUGACUCUGCUAGGUCAUGCUACCACUGCUGAUUCACGUUUGCUAUCCUGACUCUAUGGCACUGGACUGUUGGUGUGCUUGCGAGUUGACCGAGCUGCUGCUAUUGACCUGUGAACUGAGCUACCGAUUUCCAGACAAUGCAGAUGGUAGUUGCUCCAAAGAACCCUUUCUAAACAGAUUCACUUCCCCCUUAUCCUUUCUUUUCCAUUAGCUCUGGUGGGUGGUGGGCUAAAAGGGAGAUUAAAGCAUUUGAGAGCCAUCUUUAAAAAUAAAUAGUGAAAAAAUUAAAGUUACAGGGGAGUUAUUGUCCUUGCUGGAUACGGUCUUACCAGGGUGGCUUGCUUUAGAUCCACCCGUGCUCCUGGCAGUCAGCCCUUAUCUGAGCUCUGUACAGGAGACCAACAACCCAUUGGCUCCCCAGACGGGAACUUGGUGGAAUUGAACUUUGGUUUAUCACUGGGACCUGGGCUGGGAGUGUAGGCUUAGAUUUUUUUUAAAGCCUAGUUUUAAUUAAGGAUCCUCAAAGGCUUUGAUCCUGCUUCUAGCCCACAGUUCUCAGAUAGGAGAAAAAUAUGAUAAAUAAGACAAGGGAAUGUGGACCUGUUUAGAAGUCCUUCUUUGGGGGUAGUUCCAAUCUCUGUCAGGAUACUAGCACCCAGUUUGGUAGUGUCAGGACAGCAACAACAAAACAGCAGUGGCUGCGUGAUCCAGCAGAAACCACCAGGCUUCCACCAAAUUGGCACCCAUCAGCUGGGAUGCCAGAAGUUCUCUGCCCUGCCUCUCUCAAUGAAGCAAAGACACAAGAUCAACAAAGCAUUGCAAAGCUAGCUAUGCAAGCAUACUGUCACUGUCCGUUGAGUCCCAUUUAUACACUCUCCAAACAUAACACAUCCUCCCACGGGUCUUGGCCUCAGCAAAACAACAUGUGAGUCUGUGUCACAUGACAUAACCAGAAACUUCCAUUUCAGGGAGGGGUGGAGAUGUUGUUUAGUUAUCCUCCUUCCAAGACAAAAAAUUUCACAACAGCUAGAUAUUAAUCCCCUGUCAGAUAUGCAGCUAGCAAGGAUUUUCUUCUACUCUAUAGGCUGUCUCUUCAUUUUGUUGCUACUUUUUUCUUCUGUACAGAAGCUUUUGAAGUUUAUGGUGUCCCAUUUGCCACCUGCGGGCUUAUUUCCUGAGCCAUUUUAUAGUCCUAUUCAGUCUCUGUCUAUGUCUGUACCUUGAAGUGUUUGUCUUACUUUCUUCAUUGUCAGCUUCAGAAUUGCAGACCUUACACUAAGAUCUUGAUCCAUUUAGAGUUGAGCAUUGUGCAGGCAAGAGACAGGGAUUUGGUUCAUUCUUCUACAUAGGAAUAUUUGCAUUCCCAGUGUCAUGUUUUAAGAGUCUAUCUUUUCUCCAGCAUGUGUGUGUGUGUGUGUGUGUGUGUGUGUUAUCUUUGAAAAAAGAAUCAAGUGUCUGUGGUUGUGUGGGUUUAUAUCUGAGCCCUCUAUUCUAUUCCAAUGAUAUAAUGACUGCUCUUGUGCUGAUAAGUUCUGGUUUUGUUACUAUGGUUACUAAACCAUCAUAUAUGGUAAUACCAUUAGCAGUUUUCUUUUUGGUCAUUCUAAUUUGCCUACUCUGGGUCUUUUGUGCUUCUAUAUUAAUUUUAAGAUUGUCUUUUCCCUUGAUGUGAAGAGUUGGCAUUGACUUUUAGUGGAUAUUGCAUUGAAUCUAUAUAUUGCAUUUGGUAGUGUGGCAUUUUGUAACAUUAAGUCUUUAAAUCUGUGAACAUGGAAAGUCUUUCCAUCUUCUCAUGUCUUCAAUUUCUUUACCAGUGGUUUUGUUUGUUUGUUUGUUUGUUUGUUUAAGAAAUUGACACAUUGAUUUUAAUGGUCAAGUUUCUCUAGAGGAACAAAACUGACAUAGUAAAGGGGGAUUUAUUCAAGUGUCUUACAGGCUAUAAGUAGUUCAACAAUGGAUGCUACCUGCUGGAUGUUUCCUGGUAGAAAGGCCAAAGAUCCAGUUGUUCAGUUCACAAGAUUGAAUAUCUCAGCAGUCUCAGGGAAGUUCUAGAGGGCUGGUGGUGUCUUCAGUCUAGGUUCAAAUACCUAAGAAAUAGGUUAUAAUACCACCAAUAGAAUACCUCAGCAACAGUGUGGAUGAACUUGCCAGUGAGAGUGAGGGCAUUCAGGCAAAAAGCAAAAGUUUCCUUCUUCCAUGUCCUUUUAUGUGGGCUGCCACCAGAAGAUGUGGCUCAUAUUUGGGUUGGGUGUUUUCCCUUCAAAUGAUCUAGAUUUAGGAAGGGUCUUUCCUCCUCAAACAGCCCACUCAUAGGAGUUCCCAGAUGCUUGGGGUUUAUUUUAAGAUUUCAAGAUUAGCCAUCACACAUGUAACGUAUUUUGAUCAAAUCCAUCUUUCCAUUCCCUUCUCUACAAUGCUUCCCCCAGCACCAUAUUACCCUUCCAACUUCAUGAGUUCUGUUUUUGAGUCCACCAGUCCACUUAAUGCUGCACAUCUGUGCAUCGGUGUACAAUCAUCUACUGGAGUCUGGGUAGCCUCUCAGGGACCACAUUCCUGUAGAGAACUGCCUCUCCACUCCACAGUGUCCAUUGACCUCCAUCUCCCAACCGCCAUCAACCAUCAGUAGUAACUCCUCAGCUAAGGAUGGGACUUCAUGAGCCCUUCCCUGCCUGCACUGGAAUUUUGGCUGGCUUGAUAUUUUGCAGGUUUGGUGCACACAGUCCUAGUGCCAUAGGAUCAUGUGUGUAAUGGCUCUGUCAUGUCCAGAAAGCAAUUUUGCUACAGAUGCCCUCUACCUCUGACUCUUACACCGCCCCCUUCUUGAUGUUUCUAAGUUGAAGGAGGGAAUAUGAUAUAGAUGUCUCAUUUAGAGUUGAGCACUCCAUCAACCUACAGAUAUAAGAAGGUUAGUGUUUAGAAUAUAUAAAGAACUAGAAAAUUAAAUACCAAGAAAACAAAUAGACCAAUUAACAACCAGUGAAGAGAACUAAACAGAAUUCUUGAAAGAAGAAAUGCGCAUGGCUGAGAUAUUUUUUAAGGUGUUCAACAUCUGGACCAAAGAGUUGUCUUAGUGAUUAAGAAUGAUUGCUGCUUUACGGGGGACCCAGGUUUGGUUCCCAGCACCCACAUGGCAGCUUUCAGUCACCUAUAACUCCAGUUCCAGGUAACCCAACACCCUUUUCUGGCCUUCAUGGACACCAGGCAUGCACACAAUUCACUCAGAUACAUGCAAGAAAGACUCCUACACAUAAACAAUCUUUAGUAAGAUGUUCAUAACUUCUACUCAUCAAGAAAAUGUGACUUUGAAACUUCAUCUUUCCCUAGUCAGAAUGACAAAGGUCAAAUGAUGCUGUGCAUGUGAAGAAAGGGGAACAUUUAUAACCGAUGGUAGAGCAACAAACUGGUGUGGCUACUAUGAACCUCCCUACGAAGUUUCCUUUAAAAGCUAAAAGUGGAUCUUUCUGUCCCACUCUUGGACAUAUACCCAAAUGAUUCUAUAUUCUACUAUGGAGAGACCUGCUCCUCCAUGCUCAUUGUUACUCUAUCAACAAUAAACAGGAAAAGGAAAUAGCUUAGAUGUUCAUCAACUGAUGAUGGAUAAUGAAAAUAUGGUACAUAUACACAGUAGAAUAUUAUUUUGCUCUAAAGAAAGCAGGAAAAGAUUGAGCUAGAAACAGUAAUUCUCAGUGAAGUAACCCAGACCUAGAAAGACAAACACUGCAUGUUUUCGUGUGGAUGCCAGCUUUGGAUCUUAAAAUGUGUAUGCUUAAGUAGAACCACUCACAGAAGUCAGGGAGUGAGUGAGUCAUAGGAAAUUGGGGGAUUUCUUUCUUCGGUAUUUAUUUGUUUCCAUCACGAAGUCUGCUCACUUCUUUGGUUAGUUUAUUCUCAGGUAUUUUUCAGGCAAUUACAAAUGGGCUUGUUUUCCCACUUCUCCCUCAAUGUUUUUGUCUUUGGCACAUAAGAAGACUAUUGGUUAAAUUUUCACUUUGCCCUUUUGCCAAAGGUGUUCACCAGAUUUGAAAGUUUUUGUGGUGAAGUCUUUAGGUUUUCCUGUGUUUAGAACCAUAUCACUUGUACAUGGGGCACUUUGACUUCUCCUGUCUGUAUCUCUUUCAUUUUCUUUUCUUAUUGUUUUAGCUAAAACUUUAACACUAUUUGAAUAAGACUGGAAAGUAGACACCCUUAUUAUGUUCAUGGUUUUAGUGUUUUGAAUCUCCUCCAUUUUGUAAAAUGCUGGCUAUAGGUUUAGAAUAUCGAGACAUGUUCUUUCUAUGCUUUUUCAGCACUUUUAUAAUAAGGAGAUGCUGGAUUUUGUCAAAAGCCUUUUCUGCAUCUGUUUAAGUGAUCAUUUAAAUUCUAUCCUCUAUGCUAUGCGUGUACGUGUUGACUUAAAUUUGUUAAACCAUCCCAGCAUCUCUGCAAUUAAAUAAUGGACAAUCUUUUUGAUGUUCUCUUAAAUUCAGUUUACAAGUAUUUUACUGAGAAUUUUCACAUCUAUGUUCAUCAGGAAGAUUAUUAUAUGCAUAUAAGGAAACUGCUGAUUUUUAUGUUAAAAUUGUAUCUUGACACUUUUCUGAAAGUAUCAGAUCUAAGAGUUUUCUGGUGGUGUUUUUACAUUUCAUACAUAGAUUUUUCUUUUCUCCUUUCAUCAUUUCUUCCUUCCUUUCUUCUUUCUUCCAUUCCUCCCUCCCUUCCUUUUUUCUUCUUAUUUUUGUGUUCUCAAUGACUCUGAUACCUGGAUGGGUACCUCAAUCUGAAUUCAGAAUAUUUCUACUAUGAUUUUAUUGAAAAUGUUUUCUAUGACUGUGUAUGCUCAUGAUCCUUGGUUGUGUGUGUGUGUGUGUGUGUGUGUGCAUGCGCACGCAUGUGAGUGUGUGUGUAUCCCCACAUAUCUCAAAUGUUCUGUCGAUAUCCUCUUAAGAAUUUACCUUUGCCAUUGUCUGUUCCAAUCUUUUAUCUUUUGUUCUUGAUAUUCUAUCCUCUCCACAGUUCAUUCUUUGACAAGUCCUUCCACAAAAGUUUGUAUUUGACUUGUUGAAUUUUUCAUUUCCAGUAUUUCAGUUCAUUUGUUUUAGUUUCUCUCUCUCUCUCUUUACUGAAGCCUGCUUCCAUAUCCCACGUUGGUGUCCCUGUUUCAUUUAGCUUUUUGUAUUCUUUUGUAAUUCAUUCACAAUAAUAUUUGUGUGCCCUUUGAUUUCUUUGUACAUACUUAAUAAUUGCUCUUUUGAAUUCUUUGUCUGGGAUUUCAUCCAGCUCGCUAUCACUGGGAGACAUUACUGUGGAGUUAGUAAUUUGGGAGGAGUUGUCUUGCUCCUAUGUUUUGUGUCACUUGUUUUUGCACUGGGAUUUGUACAUCUGUGGUCAGUUGUUAGUUGGGUUUUUAAAUCCCCUUUAUUCUUAAAGUGCAACCAUAUUCAGUGUUUAAGAAGGAUGAGUUUGCAGUAAGGUUAAGCAGUAGUUUUACCUGCUGGACUGUGUUCAGGGUAUCAGGCUCAUUAUGUCCCUGAAAGUAGAGAUGACACACAGCCAACCUUAAACUCAACCAUUUUAGUGGGUGAAAUAUAUGAUUGUAAAUGUAUGCUAAACUAUUAGUUACUGUGAAUAUGAAUGAAAAGGGAAAAAUGGAGUAAGAUAGGUAAUUUGUAUUGGGUUAACAGAGAAUAUCGGGGGAGGAAAGCAAAUAGAAGGGGGGAUAAUAGGGACAAAGAUGGGAAUGAGGCAUUUUGGAUGGAAGUUGAAUGAAAGGAGGGAGGUAAAGAAAUGCAAUCAGAUACAGGCACAGCUUGCAGGAAGCGAGCCACAGAGACCCUAUACACUAUACAAACCUAUUUUCUUUGAGAGAGCCUUCUAAAAUAAAAUGAAAAGGGAAGGAAUAGAGAAAAAUAAAAGAGAAAGAAAGAAUGAGAACAUAACAAGACCCUGACUAUUCACUCAACUGACAUUGAGUCUUACAUAAAAGAGGAAUGACUAGGAAAGGAGAGAGCUGGGUAGAGGUCUUGAAUGGUCUUGCCUAGUCACUGGCUCCAGUCUCAACUCUCUGCAUUGCUGUUCAUGCCCACAAAUGCCUAUCCCACUCUGGAAUCCUUUUACGAGGUCAGAUCACAGACACUGCUCCUGUCAAUGGGUAGUUUUUCAUGGAUUGGUUCACUGAUUCUGGUGAGUCCUCUUGGUGGUUAUGUAGAGGUUGGCCUGUGAAUGCCCUUCAUACCUCUGGGCUAUCCUUUGCAAGGCUGAAGUCAGCUGGUUUGAACAUUGAAUAGUCCUUCUGAAAUUCAGUCACACCUCUGGAGGAUCCUCCAGAAUCCUGUUUCAAAUGAUGCUCCUACCCAUGGAUGAUCCUUUCAGAUGAUAGGCAUGCCCCUUGGAACUUGUGUCUGUAUUCUACCAUUAAUGCUGUCUGACCAGGUUUCCACUUGGCUGAAUGCUAUGGGGCUCUGAUGCAAAGUGUCUUCUCUAUAGACUAGAGGAACCCCAGUGGUUAUGUUUUAGAGUAUGGUGUUGUGACACUUGUUUUGGGUUCACCAAGGGUUUGGGGCCAUCUCUCUGAUGGCUCAUCAGAGGUCUCUUUAAGAUGACAUGACACUGCUGCUCCAGACAUCUUCCCAAAGGUGAGGGUUUCCCAGUGUCAUUCCUGCCCUGAUGCUAUUUCAUCUAACCUUUGUGUCUGUCCCACCACUUCCCUUCUUGAAAUGUCUGCUACUAGAGGGCAACAUGGGCUUUCUCGGGGUCUCUGUCUUGAGUGUGGCCUUAGUUGUUCACUUUCCUUGAGAGGAGAAACUCUCAAGAUUACACCAAUCCCUUUGGAGACUAACUAUGUGGUUUUCUGUCCUGCCUUUAAAAGUUUUGUUAUUUUUCUUUACAAUCAAACUAGAGAUUUUUGAGAUGUAUUUUUCAUGAACACAUCCUCCAUACCUCACACUGGACUGCUUCAUUUCUCUGGUGUGUAUGAUGCUUUCAAUUGACCCCCACUUUGAAUUCAGCAGGCUGAGGCUUCAUCUUUCAUAUUCUGAUAUUUGAUUUUUCACAUUUUAACGUUUCUGAAGUGGGUAGUGUAGCUUACAACUGAUAGUGUCUUUGAGUCUCUGAUGUAUGGUGACUGAUCUACCCUGUUUUUCCAUGUCAAGUUUGUAUCCUGACAUUGCUCCUGCUGUGAAGUUCACCUUUGUUGGCCCACCAACCCCAGUCAUCUGUGGGUGUGGCCUGAGUCACCACUCUCCUAGUGGUUGAUUCCUAGGCAUCUUGUAGGUCUUAGCUGAGAAACUCAUCUGUCAUCAGAGAAACUUUCUCUGGCCACCCUACCUAGACAAAGCCGGCAAAGUCUUCAUGCCCUGUGUGAUCUUUUGUGGUGAACCUACUCCUAUAGGACUACAAGUUUCUUAGUGUAGGGACCUUAACUCAUUAAUCACAGUGUGUGUGUGUGUGUGUGUGUGUGUGUGUGUGUGUGUGUGUGUGUGUGUGUGCUGGGGUAUUGGAUACAUGUGGCUGUGUCUGACUUUUUAUAUGAGUGCUAAGGAUUCAAACUUGGGUCUUCAUGCUUGCAGAAGGAGGGCUUCUCCCCAUGUCCUCACCUGGUUCUUAAUGCAGACAUCAUAGACAGAUGGGUGAACAUCAUAAUCCUGGUGCUAAGACACUUGGAGAAGAUGUUCAAUUGCCUAGAAUCCCUCACAUUACAGACUGGAUAGUGGGGAAGAGAAGGGUAACCUAGAGGUAGGACUGAGGGAAAAUGCCAGGCACAAAGAAUCGUUUCCUACUUUUCUAGCUACCAUUCCUUAUGUAACACACAUGCUCCUACCCCCAGUGCCAGUUUCUUUCACGAGCUGCAUGUUGUAUCCAGUCAGAAUGUCCUCCACAUGUUAUUUUCAAAUUGAGAAAUUGGACACACAUGUACAAAGCUUGUAUAUGGAAGAGACACUGGGAGCGUUUGUAAAGUGCAAAUCUUAUGUUUGACUCAAGGGCAUUCAAACACCUGAUUUGCCUUCAAGGGUGCUUCCUCAUGGUGGGAGGUAGACCAGCAGCCUUGGGAGAUUUCCAGCAGUGGGAUACACCAGUUCUGUCUGUGCAUUGUGUACUCUCCCCAUACCUGUGACAAAAUACCUGAGAAAAAGCAACCUUAGAAAGAAGCUAGGUUGGUUCAUAUUUGAUCUACACUACGGUUUGAAUGUAAAAUGUCCUCCAUUGGCUUGUUUAGGGGAGGUAAUUAGACCUUGAGAAGAUAGAAUCUUGCUAGAGAAAAUACGUCACUGGAGGUGUGUCUUGGGGGUUUGUGACUUGGCCCCACUCUAGUUCUCUGCUUCUACAAUGCCAAUGGUAUGCAGCAAAGCGUAAAGCCGUGGAAUGGCUCGACAGGCAGCUGCUUUUCUUGUGUCCCCUGAGGAACCUGGCUCUGCCACAUUGCGUCUUUGCUAUCCCAUGGGUCCUUUGCCACAUUCCUUCUUCAGCUGGUGAGCGGGAUACGGACUACAGGCACAUCGGUCACAUCAGCUUCUUAAGAUCCUGAGCCCAAGUGACAGAGUGUCUGCUUACUGACAAGAGAUAGUCUUACUUAGCCAGACGUGAGGAAAAUGGCAGAUGUAGUCUAUGGAGGGGGUGUCCUGUGGACUUCUUUCCAGGGAGCACACCACUUUAGAUGGUGAGUAAGGGAUAAAGAGGGAAGCACGUGACUGUGAGAAAAGCUGCUACCCAAGGUCAUCUCUGGGGGAUGAAGAGACCGCCACAUUCUAGACUGGGAGGUGUGUCAGCUGCAGCAGCAGUCUAGGGUGGACAAAACCAUGGCUUCUUUAGCACUGUCUCCUGACUCCAGUCCUCUGGGAUGGCACCUCUGUCCCAGGAACAGAUUUAUUCUAUAGAUCCCUGAGUAGAAAUGUUGGCCUAAGGAGACACAGGCUGUCACAAAAGACUUAAGUAUAAUUUUACUUAGGAAGACCAGGGCUUGGAACAUAUUUUUUUCAGACCAGGGUACCCCAGAAGUCACAGGGUCCUCAAGAGAGGACCAGUUCUCUCCUGGAGACAGCUGGGCCUCUGAUCCAGUGGGGCCUGGCUCUGGUGGGGGGUCCAUCUUAGAGUCUUCCAGUGUGGCUGUCACUGUUGCUACAUUGUCUGCCCUCGUUAGUAGCCCGAACAGAUCCUCUGAGAAAGAUGGGGUGGGGGAAGACGGUUCUACACUUAGACUAUGCAGCCAAGUGGAGCGAUGAGAGUUUGGAAACCCAAAUCUGUGACUUAGAUUUCAAUCCAUCCACAUUAUUUUAGGAGUAAAGCCAACGACUGACACUUUGAAGAACAGGGGGUUAAUCUUUCUGAGGUCCAUUCAGCUCCUUGGAUGCAAAAAGACACAUUGGAUUCUUCAUUAACGAAGAACUAUCUAAGCCCAAGGAAGAAGUGAUGGCGGCGUGGGAAAGAUGAUAUGGCAGAAACAGGGGAAAAAUUCCUUCAGAAAACUUGUUUUAAAACAGGAUAUUUACUUAAUAUUAUGGAUAGCCCUUAGAUAUUUAUUCCAGCAAGAAAACUUCACAUUUAAGCACACAGUAUGACUUUUUAAACAGAAAAAAAGGCAUUUUUGUCCUUCUUUAUAUCUUUACACACACACACACACAGAGAGAGAGAGAGAGAGAGAGAGAGAGAGAGAGAGAGAGAGAGAAUGUAGUAUGUAAGGCUGAAAAUCAGAGUGGGAGGAAAACUUAAUAAUGAUAGUUAAGUGGGCAAACAUGUGCUCUGCCAAAAGUUUAGCAACGCUCUAAUCAUCCAGGGGAGUUUCUCAGGCAGACCCAGUGCAGAGUUCCAGUUCCGUAGUUCACAAGAAAUAGAGAGGACACUUUGCUGGAGCCAGGGACCCAGACACCUUGGGUAGAGUGACAGGACGAUGGGGAGGGAGAACUGGAAGUGACAGAUGAGAAACUACUUCCAUGGAGACAGCUAAAGAAAUCGUGAGUGGGCACAAUGGGCAGGGAGGCUCAUACCAGGAGGUCUGGGUUUCGAGAGCAGGAAGAGGGAAUUCUAGGAAAGGUGUUUACCCAACAUGCUACCUCACUGUUCCCAGUAAAGAAAGUAGCCCAAUUCCCAACAGAGAUUUCCAGCUCUCCCCACAAGCGAGGAUGCCCAUCUACCAGUGUUGGCUCUGUCCAGCUGACUUCACACUAGCAGUGAGGAAGAAUAUAUAGGAGAGAUGGGGGUUAUCAGAGAAGCUAGGACUACCCCUAGGGUCUGAGGGGCUGGGGACUUUUUAAGUUAUUGUACCCCCAGAAAAAAUGGAGCAGAUCAUGUACAGAACAGAGGCAAAGAAUAUGACCCUCAGGAUAGCCCUGACCCAAGCCCUUCCUAGUGACCCCCUAGUACUCUGGGGUCCCCUCAGGAGUUCAGGCCCUGACUCAGUUGUUGCUGUGGACACAAACUGUAGCUCAUAUAAAGAAAGGACAGACCUUCCUAGGCCCCCUGAACAGUUCCCACUUGGCUCUUUGGCUCAGAGUCUGAGGCCUGAACAGGCCUGAGCCCAACAGCCCCUAGCAUUAUCCAGCCAAGGAGCUGUGUCAGGAUGUAAGUUCCCUGUCUGAAACCAGGAGACCUCAGCAAGUCUUCUCCACAGCUCCUGGCCAGCCUCUGUGGCCUUACUUCUCAACCUUGUCAAUGCUGUGACCCUUUAACACAGGCCUAGUGUUGCGGGGACUCCCAACCCUAAAGUUAUUUUGGUUACUAUCUCAUAAGUGUAAUUUUGUCUACUGUUAGGAAUUGUAAUGUCAAUAUCUGAUAUGCAGGGUAUCUCAGGAUGACCCACAGGUUGAAAACCACUGCUUUCCCCCUUUGGGCUACAGAAAGGUGAAUGGAAGCUCCUUGGACUCCCUGACUCCUGUGGGGAGAGGGGCCCUGCUGGGAGGAGACUGCAGCCGGAGCUGUUUGAGAGCAGCUGAAAUGCCUUAUUUUGUGUGCCCCGGUGAUACUGGGGCCCUGGAAACCUGAGUAGAUCAGGAGGCUGAGACUAAUUACCUAGUCAGAGAUUAGAUGGAAAUCCACCUGUCACUGUUAACAUUAGAUGAGGCUUUGUAGUGAAUGUACAGCCCCCAGGAGUGAGAUGGGACACAACUCCCUGGUGGAGGUGGUCCUCAGGAUGCAGGCAGCACCGUUGGAUCUCCAAAUGUAUGACAAGGGGGAGGAACGGACUGUUUCCCCCUCUUCUAUUCUGACUGUGGCCUAUAGAAAGAUACCGAGUACCACAGACCCAGACUGGAGUCUCUACAUAGCCCUUCCUAGUUCUGUGGCCUUCAGCCUAGCAUUAAAGGGUCACAAUCUCAGACCUACGUCAGUGGCAUGUGGAGGAGAGUUCUCUCUACGUUAAUUCUUUGCUCUUUUGCUCAAAGGCCAGGUUGCAUUUUCCAGCCUUCUUCGUUAAGGCCCUAGAACUAUUAAGAGGCACAGCACACGGAUCUCCGCUGUGUGAAGUCAUUGUACUGUUUGUUGGUUAGGAUUUUGCCCAUCUCCCCUCCAAUUCAUUUGAACAAACAGUGGAAUCUGAGAUUCGGUUCAGGCGAACCUAGAGAUUCCCUGUCCCACAGCGCAUGCUUGCAGACAUAAGCAGCGGGUGUAGGAUGGGACCUCUGUGGGACAGUACCUAAGCUCUACACUGCUGGGUUCUCCUAAUUGGUCAUGUCAGUGGAUAUGAUAGAAUGAGAGUGAGUGCAGGACACAAUGUUUCAACAUAGUACACAGGCUUGCCUUAAACCUGAAAUUUUCCUGCCUCAACCUCCCAAACCCUGGAAGUAUAGGUAUGUUCCACCAAUGCCUGAAAAGCUCCUGAGAGCCUUGGUCCUGAGAAGGCUGAUUGGCUGUCUCCACAAAACAGAUGUUUCACCUAGGAAAACCUAGGAGCCAUGAAGGUGUCCUUUCCCUGUGAUUAGACUAUUCCUAUCAGUCCUUCAGUGGAUGGGCCCCUGGUAUCAAGAUGUGGACUUAAACUCACUCAGUUUAUGAACCAAAUGGAGCAAGCCUGCGUCAUCACAGACCAUCCCAAGCCAGGGUCUGUGGCUUGGCUUCAGUUCCUUUCAAAUUCAUUGUAAACUGUGUGCCUGCAGGAGUUUUCAGUGGGACGGGGUAUAAUGCUUUCUUAGCUCCAAAGCCUCCAGAUUUUAAGAGCAAGUAGAUGAGGAGUUAAUGAAUUCUGGGGAAGAUGGAGUUUGGUUAACAGUGCUUAAAAACAGAAAGAUAAUUUUUGCCAAUUGUCUCUGUGACAGCCUGUGGGAAACCAAUUCUAGUCACUCAAUUAACAUUACCGUUACUUUCCUUGGAGUGCCUGGCCGCAAAUCCUCAUUACCGCUUUCCCUGGCCAACUGGUGUUUUCUUCCAAAUGUCUUCAGGUGCCACUCAGAUUUGGGAAGGUUGCCAGGGCCAGGAUUCAGGACUAUACAUGCCAGCUCCAAGCCUCCAAAGGGUCAUCCUGGAAAGGUAGCCACUGAGUCUAUGUACUUCCCCCUCCCUGUGUCCUUUUAUUUUGUCUGGUACCACAGUUCUAAAGAGUUUGAAAUAUCUGUUUUUCUUUCUUUCUUUCUUUUCUUUUCUUUGGCCAGGAAGCAGGGUCAGGAAUACUUUGUGUAAGGGACAAAUGUCACUUCACUAAAAUACUUAAGCAAGGUCCAAGAUGCUCAAGAACUGGUUAGCAUUAAGUCAUCUUAUCUACUUGAGUGAAUCCAGAGACUAACACGAGACAUGUUCCCAGAAACUUCAUCCACAGCAGCCCUCGGCAGGCAAGUGAGGCUCCUCUCCACAACUGACACUUUGGUUGGACAAUUCCUUUGUGAAUUAGUGACCUUAGGGCUCCCAUGCUAAGGCUGCUUUUUUGUCAAUGGUGAGAUCUAGGCCAUAUUGAUUAGUGGUGGUUGGGGCUGUUGUAUUACUGUGGUUCAUUAAAUUCCUCAUGGUUACAGUCUUACAGAAUGACUGGGUAAUGCAUUUCAAUUUUUGACUGUUUUCCGGUUUGUUAAGAUUUUCGUGCCUGAGUAAAACCUCUGAGGGAAGAUACCAGAGAUGCUUGCAGAGAGCGCCCAGCCGAUCCCUGGCAGGGAUGCUUGUCUACUUGGGUUGGAUGCAGCUAGAGACGGCCAUGCGGCUCUCCUCACCAAAGCCUGCCUUCUCUAGCUUCUAAGGACCUGAGUCGAGGUUGGUGUUGGGAGGGAAGUCCCUGUCAUCCCUUUUCUCUAGAUGCAAAAAUGUUCAUGAGCAUCGUUCAGGGCGGGCCACCCGCCUCAGGCUCACAUGUCCGUCUGCUUGAAACUGCCAUCUUCUUCUGUGGCUCUUAGGCUCAAGGCCAUCACAGCUACACCCACCUCACAGAAGAGAAACUCCAGGUGGUCCUGGUCAAUCUCACCCUCCUUCUCCAUCUGAACAGCAGGCAUCCUCGACCAGCAGUUCUCAACCUUCAGCUGCUCCUAAGACCAUCAGAACACACAGAUAUUUACAUUAUGACUCAUAACUAGCAAAACCAGUUAGGAGGUAGCAACGAAAAUAAUUUUAUGGUUGGGGGUUACUUCAACAUGAAGAAUUGUAUUAAAGGGGUGCAGCAUCAGAAAGGUUGAGGACCAUUAACCUAGAGGAAUAAGAGAAGCAAACAGCAUCGUGGCUGCUUGAUGCUGGCUUCUGGACACAAGCACCUCUGACUCACAGUUCUGAUGGAGCUGCCCUGGGUUUGGGAGCCAAGCCAGAGGAGAUGCCAAGGAGUCAGGAGGAGGGCCUAGAGCCUAGGGCCAGGGGCAUAAGCAACAUUUGAGCCAAUAGAAGUUCUCGGUGGAUCAGGGAAAGCCUGGAGUGCUGGCUAUCCUCAAGAGGAUGUGGAUGGUGGAUGAAAAAUCUUCCACAGAAAGGGCUUGCAGAAAAAAACAACAGCAUGAACAUCUUAAAUACCUAUCAGUUCGUUGAGUAAAACUAUUGAGUUUCUAACCCAUUGAAUUAGCUCUUACAGACCAAUAGUCAAUGGAUAAGUAAGAAGAUGAAUGACCAUAGCAACUGGGUGAGAGACUCAGAAUCUCCUGGCCUCUCAGGGGCAGAACAAAAGCUGGACUCAAGGUGAUUUCUCAUGUUUAUCUUUUGUUCCUUCAACAACGAUGGUCCCAGCUACUCUGCCAGUUCAUUGUCCUGGGUCUGGUUGUACCACUUCUUUAUCUUCAAACACCAAAAUUCUCUUUUGCUUCCAUUAAUUAACUAAUUACUCUUACAUCCUGAUCAGGGCUUCUCCUCCCUCCUCUCCUUCCAACCCCUUCCUUUCACCUCCCCUCUCUCUAUGCCCCUCCCUUUCUCCUCAGAGAAGGGAAGACCUCUGAUAGAUAACCCCUCCCACACACACACACACACAUAUCAAGCUGUAGUUGGAAUGGACACAUAUUCUUCUAUUGAGGCUAGACAAGGCCAUCCAGUUAGGGAAAAGAGAUCCAAGGGCAAACAACUGAGUCAGAGACAGUUCCUUGCUCCUGCUGUUAGAGGUUCCACUCUCUCUGAGGCCCUAUGUGCCCAGAUUAAUUGAUUCUGCAGGUUUUCUCGAAACACAGACAAUUCAAUAUUUUGAAUGUUUCUCUAGGGCAUUUAGAAUACCCUUGUCUUUGUUUUCUGUUGCUAUAACAGAAUACUACAGAGUGGGUGAUUUAUAAAGAAAAUAAAUUUGUUUCUGCAUCCCUAGAAAUUUGGAAGUCCAAGAUCAAGGCACCAGCAUCUGGUGAAGGAUCUCUUGCUACCUCAUCUCAUGGCAGAAGGGGAUUUCCUCAACUUUCAUUAUUAAAGAUCUCUGAGAAAGUCACACCCUUAGCUUUCAUCAGUCAGCCCUUCAAUAUGGGUGAAGAUCCAGCUCAAAGAAAAUAGAGGCCUAGGUUCAGGCCAGUGAGUCCAGGCCAGUCUAUCCUACACACUCACAUAUAGCCCUCCAUAUCUAUGACCUUGCACGGCCUUGACAUACAGUGAAACCAUUCCUCAGAUAAGGAGACAACAGCCUUUCUGAAGACCAUGGACAGAAGCCAUGCGUCAUUCCAGGGAAACGGAAUUUCAUUCGUGCUGAAGCAGAGCAGGAAGAGAACAGUUGAGAGAAAGAGGCUGGAAGCAACUCGACAGAAGUGUUCCAUGUCAGUGGUGGCAUCUCACGUUGUUCUUCAGUGACCCUUUCUCAGGGGGAGUCACUGCCCUCAAGAAGACGUAGAGAACCAACUUUCUCCUCUUUGGUCCUUGGAGCUGUGCACCUGGAGAGCGUAAUCAAGCAUGAGCCCCAGGUACUUUGAAAAGAAGGAUUCCAGGGGCCAUGUAAAAGACCACUUUUCUUUUGUAGUUUCUCUGUAGCUUAUAUCUGAUGACAGUUUUUGUGGCUGAAUUAAAAACAAAAAGCAAAAAUAACAAGAACAACAAGAACAAGAACAAGAAAAACAACAGCAACAAUAACAACAGAAAUAACCCUUUGUACAUUCCCUGUCUAGAAUAAAGAGAAGUCUUAGUAGUGUCAACAG